UGGAAGAUACUCAAAAAAUGAUGCGUAGUUGAAUUUCCAAUCAGUUCCCACUGACAAUACAAUUUUAUAGGUAUUUCAUGUGCUGAACAUCCUGAGAGAGAACUUUCCCAAUGAAAGAAAACGAAUGAAACUAUGCCUGCUGUCAUUCCCAACUUCAUACUGGGCCCUGUACUAGGCCUAGAGAGAACCACAGAUUUGGGUGCCCAAAAGAGGCAGCAGCCUGUUCUCCCUGGGGAUGAACUCUCACAUGGCGCCUUGCUCUGGACCCUCAUCCAUUAGCCAUGCCAAGAUUCAAGGAAGAAAGUUACCAUCCAGCAGC